CUCACUCUUUACAGAGGUUCUGAGUUAGCUUCAACAUUUCACAUUGCAUGUAAAGGCAACCUUGUGUGGUUGCAUGCUGCUGAGGAAGUAGCCAGGAAACCCAGCCACCAAUUGGAGCCAAGCUAUGCUAAAUUAAUCUUGCAGGAACUGAGACACUGGACUUGUUUAUCGCUCCAACCUCUUGCAAACUUUCAACUGCCUUUGACCAAGGCACUUGUUGUGAUAUCGGAGGCUGAGCCAGUUAACACUCCCUGCAGUAGCACAUACACGCAAUUUCAGCAAGAGCUUCAGCAACUGAAAAGCAAAGCACCAAGAGAACAUGCUGGGUUUUCAGAAGACAUUCAGGUUCCUGAAUGCAACAAUGAGGAGUCAGAUUGUUCCUAGAGCAAAUAUUGUUACUAAACCACCAAAAGAGAACAUAUCUGCAGCUGAUCAAGCUAUUGCAAUGACAGUAAUAUUUGCUGCCUUCUUGAUCCCGUCCGGUUGGAUUUUGAGCCAUCUGGAGGAUUACAAGCGCCCGUCCAGUGAUUGAAGGACAAGCAGAAGAAAUCUACUAAUGAAUAUGGUCACAAAGAAGGGAAAGCCCCAAAGAAACUUGUAUCUUCUCUGAUGGGAAGCUAUCACUGGAAGUUUUUAUAAUGAAUAAAUUUUAAGAAUCCUAACAGCCAAAA